CUGAUGAAGUAGGCACGUUGCCUCCUCCAGUGAAACAUAGCAUAUCUGACUGUUAUCUGUACUGGGCUACCAAUCUUACUCCCAAUCAAGUUCUUCACCAAAAGGAUGAUAAAGACUGGAGGUGGACCCAGUGACUGAGAAGGGAAGAAGACAUCAAAACAGACAGCAUCAGAGCCACUGGUUUCUCCAUCUUCUUUCCUGCUUUCAGAUAGACUAUAUAAUGUUUCCCUUUUCACUCUGGAUCAAAAUCAUUUUCAUCCUGGUUUUGUCAUUUACUCCUCAUAAUGAGGCUGCUGAUAAAAAUUCAGUUUCUACCUAUCAAAU